CAAAUAGACGCACGCCGCGCGGACCGGCUUGCGUGUAAAUGUCGUACGAAAAUCCCUCACGUGACGUUAUCCUAAGUGCCUAGGGACAGGGUCGUUUAUGGCCGGACUUGGCGGUAACUGGUGACACGCGCGUGGUAGAAGCGAAAUGCCAUACUAAAACGCUGCUGCCACGCACGGAAGUGACGUCACAGUUAUGAUGACGUUGUUCAAACAAGUAUGGCGUGUUCCGGUUUAUAGUUUUGCGCGCGCUGCUGGAGCUCCUUCAGCUGUUCAGCCUAGCUAAAGCACAAUUUUACGGUUUCUUACUGUGUUGUGUGAUAGAAUGUUGUUCUAGUUAGUUGCGCUGGAAGAACCGGAUGGUGUUCGAGAUUGCGAUCUCGAGCCACACUUGGGCGCAACGCUGGAGCAGCUCGUUUCCUUAUGCCUUGGAGCGCGUUUAUGGCCUAAACAUCUCAACAGACCAUCUAACUAUGUGGAGUGAUUUUUUAGCCAUUACAUAUUCACUGCAUUUGCCUGCUUUCCACAUGGCUACCAAUAAUCAGUAGAUAUCAUGUCGGUUAUUUAUAUUUGGAAUUGGUGACUUGCCCAAAACCUCAUAGUACCCAAAAGAAAAUAAGGCCAUCGCAUACAUGCAACAAAAGUUUAAUUCACCCAUGGAAGGGGAAGUAAAUCGUGAAGAUUUACACAACGGCACAACGGCCUAAAGUUCACAAAGCCGGGAUGCCCCCAGAGGUGAAUGACACAACCUGUCAGCUAAUCCCUUGGAGCAGCCGCUGACCUGCCUAUCGAUGCGAAGGACAACUGCAAUGACAACUGCAAAGCUUGCAAGGCUGGGACGAUAAAUUUUUUCAGUGACAUCCACGUUGAAAGUCUAGCCCUUGAAGUGAACGGCAUAUAGAGUGCACACUUAUCUCGCCACCACAACGAUGACUGCUCCAUAGCUCACAAGGCUGGGAUAGCAAGUCUCAACGGAAGGCUAAUCGUGCAGGCCUAGCCCUUGAAACCACCAGCUGUGUGCCUGCCAAUAUUCUGCGCCUUCAUCGUGAUGGGCACUCCAAGGUUUGCAAGGCUGGAAUGCUGAGGUCAUCCCAUCUGAAAUUUGGAAGCUUUGCCCUUCAAGCAUCCAGUACCACCAUGGCAGUGUUAAAGACGGGAGGAACUGCGAGGAUCACUGCUGUUUACUAACAAUUAUGUGGGAGUAAUAUUAGCACACUAGAGCCAAAAUGCAAUGAUAUCCUUACUAAACUAUCGGCAUGGACUAGAGUAAAUAAAAUCAAAGUAAACCCAACUAAAUCCAAAGCAGUUAUUUUUUGUGCGCAGAAUAAAGCAGUUCCUCCGGUGAAUUCAUUUUACAAGACCAGCAUAUAGAAAUAGUCACCGAGCACAAGGUUCUCGGUGUGUAUUUUUCUGCCCAUCUAAAAUGGGACGCUCAUGCUGUUUACAUCUCCAGAAAACUGUCUGCAGUUACAGGUGUAAUCUCACGCUGCUGCACAUUUCUUCCCACAAGCACUAAACUAAAAAUAUAUUAUGCCCAAUUUUUUUCUCACAUUAACUAUUGCACACUGAUAUAGGCUACAAAACCUAAAAGAAAUAUGAACAAGCUUCUUGUAUUGCAGAGGAAAAUUAUUUGCCUUAUCGUUAACAUUGAACCAACGUCGAGUGUUAAUCCCACAAUAGUAUCAUUCAAUUUGAUCCGUGUAGAUAAUGUAUAUGAAUUUCGUUUGUUACAAUUACUUUUCUUCCACAGGUAUGAGUAAUUUCCUCACACAACUUCCCUUGAAUAUCGUACACCAAUAGUUAACACUCGUUCUACUGACACUUGGUCCUUACUAGAGUUUAGAACCGAUUACAAGCUGCAAUCCUUGCUCAGAAUCUGCCAUUUUUUCUCAAUAAACAUAAAGAUACUGCUGGUUUUAGUCGAAAACAACUGCAAACAUACUUUGUGCACAUGUAAUCCGUAUUUCUUCAUAUGUCGUUUAAGAGAACUUCUGUGUUAUUGCUGUACUUGAUUGCUGUACUUGAUUUGAUUUGAUGACUACUUCUGUAUUGCUAUUGUUAUGUCGUUCUGUCUGCUGCUGCCAUGUAAUGGUUUCCUGGGCCUUCAUCAAGCUGUUCUUACAGCUUUUAGCCCAGGUGACCAUCCAGAUACUUGCUGGAGAAUAAAAUAUGAUUUGAUUUGA